GAGGAGUCGCCCCCUGCUGGUCACUACAGAGAAGUAGAGUCAUUUCCUCAUAGACGUCUAUGGGAGCAGAGGAGUCGCCCCCUGCUGGUCACGCUUUGACUUUCACCAAGUCAUCUCCAAGAAACGACUCACAAACGUUUUAUAUGUCGCCCAAAGUCCCAUUUGAUCGCUUCACGAUCCGGGUCUCGUUGAGGCUCCGCCUCGUAGUCCGGAUUCGGGGAUUAAUCAAGUUUGGAGCGCGACGAUGCAGCAGAAGCACCUGCUGCCCUUUGCUCCGUCUGCUGCCGCUUUCUGGUUGCUAUGCCAACCACAAGGGUUGCUCACGUCUGAGCAUGCUCAGUGCGGCUUCCUUCUCCUCAUAACAAUAGCCAGAGCGAGGGCUCUCUCACACACACACACACUCACACACACUCACACACACAGCUUCAGACGGUAAGUACACAGACCUGCAGAAAAGCAUUGAUCUCCUUCAUGUGAGUCUGUAGCUGCAGAACCAGAGGAAGCAUGUGCUCUUUAUUUAUUUCUUUUAUACAACACCAUUGUUCCACUCCAGGUGUGUGUGUGUGUGUGUGUGUGUGUGUGCGUUGUUUUUAUGAAUGGUGCAUUCUGCUCACUUGGAUGUGUAGUAGUCGACAAAGCAGAGGAGUCGCUCAAUAAUUCAUGUGGAGGGAAGUCAGCAUGUGUAACGCGACGCUUUAUUUCUUACCACGUCCUCCCUUAUUUAUACCUGCAUUAUUAUUCUUUGUUCAGAUCAUGUGACUCUUAAACAGUAGAUCCAGUUGUUAUUAUACUCAUUAUUAUAUUAUCGCUGGAUUCCUGCUGUUGUCUCUGCGUGUAAACUAGAGACGUAACCAUGGCGAUGGGGCUCUAAUCAAUUCGAGCAUGUCAUGUUUGAGUAAAUAGUCAGAGACGUGUCAGUUAUUCAUCAACAAACAAUAAUCCCGCCAGACAACAAAUUAUUAUCUCAGUAUUAAUCCGUCAAAGACUGUCAGACCUCUAGACCUGCAGGCUCCACUUGUAGGUCCUAGACUUGUAGGCUCUAGACUUGUAGGUUCUAGACUUGUAGGCUCUAGUCUUGUAGGCUCUAGAUUUGUAGGCUCUAGACUUGUAGGCUCUAGACUUGUAGACUCUAUCCUUGUAGGCUCUAGACUUGUAGGCUCUAGUUUGUAGGCUCUAGACUUGUAGGCUCUAGUCUUGUAGGCUCUAGAUUUGUAGGGUCUAGACUUGUAGGCUCUAGACUUGUAGACUCUAGCCUUGUAGGUUCUAGACUUGUAGGCUCUAGACUUGUAGACUCUAGCCUUGUAGGUUCUAGACUUGUAGGCUCUAGACUUGUAGGCUCUAUUCUUGUAGGCUCUAGACUUGUAGGUUCUAUACUUGUAGGCUCUAGAUUUGUAGGCUCUAGACUUGUAGGCUCUAUAUUUGUAGGUCUUGGACUUGUAGGUGUUAGAUUUUUAGGUCCUAGACUUGUAGGCUCUAGACCUGUAGGCUCUAGACUUGUAGGCUCUAUAUUUGUAGGUCUUGGACUUGUAGGUGUUAGAUUUUUAGGUCCUAGACUUGUAGGCUCUAGACCUGUAGGCUCCAGACUUGUAGGUCUUAUACUUGUAGGCUCUAGACUUGUAGGCUCCAGACUUGUAGGUCUUAUACUUGUAGGCUCUAGACAGAAGUGUAGACUCAGAACCAGUAGACUCUAGGCUUUUAGACUCUAGACUUGUAUCCUCCUCUUCCCUGAAACCCUGUAAGUAUUGAUUCAGGUCCUCGGAGGCUUGUUAUCAUCAGACUGAUAUAUUAAUAAUGUUAAUAUAAAAUAUUGAUAAACGGAUCUCGAUGCUUCUUCCAUCGGUCAAAUAAAUCUUAGUAGUUACGGGUGAAGAAGAGGUGAACUAGUGUGGACUUAAGAGGUCACAUGAGGCUAAUUCUCCGUAAUCACUGAACCAGUCUGUCUUCCUUAAAAAGAUGCUGGUGUUCUAUUUGCUCCUUUGCUUUGAAGACAAAAGGAGAAGCAGUAAUCUGCUCCAGUGUCAGAGGUCAGCUUCAUUUUGACGUCUGGUGACCAUGUUUUGAGGGAACAGAGCUCAGAGCCUUCAUCAGGUCUCUUCCUCCUCUAUAUAUAUAUAUAUAUAUAUGUAUAUAUAUAUAUCAUCAUAUAUCUAUCUAUCUAUCUAGCUUAUAUAUAUAUAUAUAUAUACUGUAUAUAUGUAUGCGCUUCAUUUCUUCACCUCAUCAAAUGUGUGAGGAUCACAAACCAUCACCUGGGGACUGUAAUCAAUCGGUACCACGGUUACAUCUGGGUGUGUGUGUGUGUCUGUGCCCAGCAGAGU
ensembl:lncRNA